rnacentral:rRNA from 1 species
UGGGGAAUAUUGGACAAUGGGCGAAAGCCUGAUCCAGCCAUGCCGCGUGUGUGAAGAAGGUCUUCGGAUUGUAAAGCACUUUAAGUUGGGAGGAAGGGCAUUAACCUAAUACGUUAGUGUUUUGACGUUACCGACAGAAUAAGCACCGGCUAACUCUGUGCCAGCAGCCGCGGUAAUACAGAGGGUGCAAGCGUUAAUCGGAAUUACUGGGCGUAAAGCGCGCGUAGGUGGUUUGUUAAGUUGGAUGUGAAAUCCCAGGGCUCAACCUGGGAACUGCAUUCAAAACUGACUGACUAGAGUAUGGUAGAGGGUGGUGGAAUUUCCUGUGUAGCGGUGAAAUGCGUAGAUAUAGGAAGGAACACCAGUGGCGAAGGCGACCACCUGGACUAAUACUGACACUGAGGUGCGAAAGCGUGGGGAGCAAACA